rnacentral:tRNA from 1 species
AAAUCCGUAGGUUUUAUAGAUCGUGAGG